rnacentral:lncRNA from 1 species
UGAGAGUAUCACACAGAUUCGACUCUUAAUUUAUUUGAAGAGAGAUUUUAUCCUCUCCCACCUCAUCAUACAUGCAUGUGUGUGCGCACGCACACACACACACACACACACACACACACAUUUUCUCCUUACAGUGCAUGGGUAUCCCUGUUAUAUCAUUCUUAAGGGAGGGAAAUAGUACAAAUAUGACUCACAGUCAAGUUAGAAACUUAAAAAUGGCAUAGAUAAUGAAAUAAUUAUAAGAACAAUUCCUUUUAGGGGCGCUGGGUGGUUCAGUCGGUUAGGCGUCUUGACUUUGACUCAGGUCAUGAUCUUGCAGUUUGUUGUGGGUUCAAGCCCUGUGAAGGACUCUCGGUGCUGACAGCUCAGAGUCUGAAGCCUGCUUUGGAUUCUGUGUGUGUGUGUGUGUUGUGUGUGUGUGUGUGUGUGUGUGUCUGCCCCUCCCCCACUUGUUCUCUCUCUCUCUCUCUCUCUCUCUCUCUCAAAAAUAAAUAAACAUUAUUUUUUUUAAAAAAGAGCAAUGCCUCUUAACACAGAUUUCCCCAUUUCCCUUUCUCUCUCACACAAGUCUUGCACAAGUGAAUUCAUGCAGGUGAAACAUGUAAAACUUAAAGCAUUAAACCAACUCUCACGAUCACAUAGGAAGCUUGCUUAAAGCUGGUGUUUCAGUAUGACAUUUAUGAAUUGACUGCCAGUCAUGGCACAAACUGCCAGUCAAGCAAAACUGAGCUGGUCGAGUCCACUCACAGUGCGUGGAACCAUCAUUCAUCUGGGAAGACAACCCCAAUCCGGGCACCGGUUUUCCACCUCAGAGAGAGGAUCUCCAGCUUCUUUCUCAUGUGGCUCGUCAAGCCCAUCGAAACCAGGAAGAUCAGAGCCCUGACCUAGAAGUACUUUGGAGGGACGGCUGCCGUUUUGCUUUCUCCUUUAAGAAGCAAAUUCAAAAUUCUCAACUUGCCUGAGCAAACGAACAAGAAAUGGGAAGAUUUAGGGCACACUGUGUGAUACGUAUAUGCUGAGAUGGCCCUGAAUUUCCCUGUGCAAAUGAAUCUACUGGGUCAAAUCAUGAACCCAGCUUCCGAAGAAGGAGCACAAGCAUUUUUCCUCCAAAUAAAAAUCCGUUUUGCUUUAAUCA